AUUCAAGUACAAGGGGGUAGGGACCAGGGACUGUGGUCCUACCCAAAGUUAGCUCAGCCAUAAAGGCCAAUAAGCUACUUAACCAAGGUACCUAGAGUAUCUUGGCUAGUGUAGUAGACCCUAGAGAGCCCGAGGUUUUCUUAUCAUCUGAACCAGUGGUAAGGGAAUACCAUGAUGUUUUUCCAGAAGAGCUUCCAGGACUUCCGCCUCACAGAGAGAUUGAUUUUGGUAUUGAGUUAGAGCCAGACACUUUUCCCAUAUCGGAGCUCCAUACAGAAUGUCCCCAGAUAAGCUGAAGGUCCAGUUGCAGGAGUUGCUGGACAAGGGUUUCUUCCGAGUCGGUCUUCUCAUGUGCGAGCCCCUUUAGUGUUCGAGCCUCUCCCCUCAAACGCUUAAGCCGAGUUGAUUUCUCCCUACUCCGAGUCGAAUGCGUAGACAUAAGCCAAACCCAAGCAGAGUCCACAUUUAGUCGAGUCGUUUGAUGGGCUAAAUUUGGAGUAGUCAUUGUGCAAUAUCUUAAAGGUUGAAUUGGUUUCAACCUCUUUUGUUGGUAAGUCGAAUUGGAAAGUUUUGGAUGUAGUCAUUUUAGGAUUGAUUCAUUGGAAACUUUGACUGUCAACUAAGGGUAAUAGUUUGUUAAUCUCUUAGGUAAGAGAUUCUACUGAUGUAGGGGAAUGUCGGGGAUCCGAGUUUCGAAUCCUGGUCCAAAUCCUGGGCCUAGGGCGUUACAGAUGGUAUCAGAGCGGAACCAAGCAGUUCGGGGACGAACCAAGUGGAAGCUGGUGAGCAUGUAACACCCCGAGUUUAGGAAGGGACGUGAAUGAAUCGGUAUCACUUCUGAAUGAGACGGAUCCUAAGGAUAUGAAAUGAGGACAUAAAAGUAAGAUUAAGAAAGGCUCAAAAUAAUUAAAAGUUACUACCUAUACCAACAAGGUGCACUUUCCUUUUUGGUAGCUUGAUCAUAGGAAUUCCAAAGUUAAGUGUGCUUUAGUUUAGAGCAAUUCUAUUUUGGGUGACCUCAUGGGAAUUUUUCUAGAAUGCAUGUGAGGACAAAGUAUGCUGAAAGUACUCGUGUUGGUUUUUGGGGACGACUCUCACUCUAAUAAUCCUGGACAUGCAGGGGAAGGUCGGAGAUCCGAAUUCCAAAUUCUGGUUUGAAUCCUGGGCCUGGGGCAUUAUAGUAACUACCAUUAAUAGGUUAGUAUUAAAGAUGGUGGUUGGAAGAUAGUUGAUGGAAGAUAGAAAGUUUAGAUAAUGUUUUAUUUUGACUUUUUGGUAUUUUCAUCAAUUAUGAUAGAAUCUCUACAAGGUUAUAUAAGACCUCUAUCCUUCCAUUUGUAAAAACGAGACUUGAUGAAUGCAAUUUGAAAUCUCAUUUUUUAGA